rnacentral:tRNA from 1 species
AUCUAGUUCCUUCAAUACCAAUAUGUUCUAGUAAUAUGAAUUUUCUUUUUCUGUGUUGGUGUUGUGUACUCAGGUGAAUAAUAUGUUUGCGAUGUUACUCUGAGUGCAUAUCCACACCGGGCGACCUUCAAAAAUAUGCCCGGCCACGGUAGGAUUCGAACCUACGACCUUUGGAAUACUAGCGCAAUGCUCUUCCAACUGAGCUACGCGGUCAGCAUGGUUCGAGUAAGUGAUAUUUCGGAACAGUAU